rnacentral:ribozyme from 1 species
AAAUCAAAAAAGAAAAUGAAAACUUGAGAAAAAUAGAAAAAACGCGAAGAAGAAGACUAUCGUUUCCUCUCUCUCUUCUCUCUCUCCCUGUCUCUCUCU